rnacentral:tRNA from 1 species
GCCUGGUUGGCUCAGUUGGUAGAGCAUGUGACUUGAUUUCAGGGUUGUGAGUUCAAGCCCCACGUUGGGUG